GUGGGGAAUCUUGCACAAUGGGCGAAAGCCUGAUGCAGCCAUGCCGCGUGAAUGAUGAAGGCCUUAGGGUUGUAAAAUUCUUUCGUCAGGGAUGAUAAUGACCGUACCUGAAGAAGAAGCCCCGGCUAACUUCGUGCCAGCAGCCGCGGUAAUACGACGGGGGCUAGCGUUGUUCGGAAUUACUGGGCGUAAAGCGCACGUAGGCGGAGUUUUAAGUCAGGUGUGAAAUCCCGGGGCUCAACCUCGGAACUGCAUUUGAAACUGGAAGUCUUGAGAUCAGGAGAGGUUAGCGGAAUGGCGAGUGUAGAGGUGAAAUUCGUAGAUAUUCGGUGGAACACCAGUGGCGAAGGCGGCUAACUGGACUGAUACUGACGCUAAGGUGCGAAAGUGUGGGGAGCAAACAGGAUUAGAAACCCUUGUAGUCC
rnacentral:rRNA from 1 species